rnacentral:lncRNA from 1 species
UUCUUAAGUUCCUAUCCUUUUGGGGUAUAGCUUCCACUUAGCUAUGCCCCAACAAGUGGUGAACUUUAAUCGCCUCCUUAAUCUUAUGGAAUAGGUUAGGAAAUCCCGAGCUGAGUGCAAAGUAGUUUAAUUCCCUUUUCACAAUCAAGAAGGAUGGGAAGAACUUCGGCUGUUGGCAUACCAGUGUUAGGCUGAGGAUGGGUGAUUCCUUAGUGCUUGACACUCCCUCCUCCAUCAAGAAGUGGAAGGAAAAAUUCUUUUAUGUGUCAGGGGAGUGGUAGUUUCACCCUGUCGAAGUGAAUAGGGAGGAUGGUCCCCACACUCUACCAUUCUUUAUGUAAGUAACUAUCUUUUGAUGCUAUGGUCGAAGAAACUGGUGAAGUAAUAUUAAACUUUGCCUUGUUUUGCAGAUUACAAGAAGGUGACUUUGAAAAAGGACACUCAGAGAUGAGCUGAGGAGAUAAGGGCCUUGCUGAAGAGACAGAGUUCCUGUAAGUACGUGAUCUCGAAUUCCAACCUCUUCCGAGUGUGUUUAAUCCAAACAAGAGUCCUAAGUCCGUCCACAGUUGGAACAUUGACUUCCAUCCCAGCUAGUUCAAGUAAGGAUUAAGUUACUUUUUAUGGGAGAGCUGGUUAUUUUUUAUAAAAAUGAUAAAUGUUGUAUUUAUUUGUGUUUUUCAGCUCAUAAUCCAGAAAUGCUGGGAUAUAAGCCAACUAAGGUAGCAACUGCUGCUGCUAAAGGGAACAAGAGAGAGGUUCCAUCGGUGGUGAGCUUAGCUUCAGAGAAGACAGGGAAGGACGUCCAACCUCUGAAGAGGUACCGCCCUGAGCUGUCCUUUAAAAGCUUGCCUCCCCGACCUCGCCUUUGGUGCAGUCGAGCUCGCCAGCUACAGCUCUUUACACAGAGCAGUCUUCGGUUCCCACUACUGUUGCAGUCAUGCGGACCUUGGCCCUUUCAAUCACAUUAGUUGCUGAUUGCGCCAGUUCAUCGAGAUCGCAUGAAUGACACUUUAGGAAGAAUUUAUAUUUGGAAAACCUAAACAGGCUAGACUCACAAUUGGACUUUCUUUUUUAUUUUAAGGCUAAGGGUAGAAUUGGAGAGAGAAGAGAAUGGCACUGGCAUAUGGACUCCUAAUGGGGGGAAAAAAGAAAAAAAAUUGGAAUUAACGGAAUUAAAAGGUUCAAAUAUUGGGAAAUGAAAAAAUAGAAAAGAAAAAAAAAGAAUGAGAGAGACACGUGCUGAGAGAGGCAGAAGACAGAAAAAACGCACAAGAGAAAUUCAGCCAAAUAUUAGGAAAAACACGACAAACUCAAUUUGGAAAAUU